CAGACCUCUAAUCGGAAAAGACUACCCGCUGAGUUUAAGCAUAUCAAUAAGCGG
rnacentral:rRNA from 1 species